AGCAUAAGGCUCGGAUGAUGAUGAUGAUGAUGAUGAUCAUCAUCAUCAUCAACAUCAUCAUUUAAG
rnacentral:pre_miRNA from 1 species